rnacentral:tRNA from 1 species
GUGGGUAUAGCUGAACUGGUAAGGUGCAUGCUUAGUAUGCACAAGGCCCUGGGUUCAAUCCCCAGUACCUCUU